AUUGAACGCUGGCGGCAUGCCUUACACAUGCAAGUCGAACGGUAACGCGGGGCAACCUGGCGACGAGUGGCGAACGGGUGAGUAAUGCAUCGGAACGUGCCUGGUAGUGGGGGAUAACUGCUCGAAAGAGCAGCUAAUACCGCAUACGACCUGAGGGUGAAAGGGGGGGGUCGCAAGACCUCUCGCUAUCAGAGCGGCCGAUGUCGGAUUAGCUAGUUGGUGGGGUAAAGGCCCACCAAGGCGACGAUCCGUAGCUGGUCUGAGAGGACGACCAGCCACACUGGGACUGAGACACGGCCCAGACUCCUACGGGAGGCAGCAGUGGGGAAUUUUGGACAAUGGACGCAAGUCUGAUCCAGCCAUGCCGCGUGCGGGAAGAAGGCCUUCGGGUUGUAAACCGCUUUUGUCAGGGAAGAAAUCUUCUGGACUAAUACUCUGGGAGGAUGACGGUACCUGAAGAAUAAGCACCGGCUAACUACGUGCCAGCCGCCGCAGUAAGAC
rnacentral:rRNA from 1 species